CUCAGUUCGGAUUGCAGGCUGCAACUCGCCUGCAUGAAGUUGGAAUCGCUAGUAAUCGCGCAUCAGCAAUGGCGCGGUGAAUACGUUCCCGGACCUUGUACACACCGCCCGUCAAGCCAUGGAAGUUGGGAGGACCUGAAGACAGUUGCUGUAAGGCGCUGUUUAGGGUUAAACCGAUGACUGGGGCUAAGUCGUAACAAGGUAGCCG
rnacentral:rRNA from 1 species